rnacentral:rRNA from 1 species
AACGGCCGCGGUAUCCUAACCGUGCGAAGGUAGCGUAAUCACUUGUUCUUUAAAUGAGGACUAGUAUGAAUGGCACCACGAGGGUUAUACUGUCUCCUUUUCCUAAUCAGUGAAACUAAUCUCUCCGUGAAGAAGCGGGGAUUGAUAUAUAAGACGAGAAGACCCUAUGGAGCUUAAAACUAAUUUUCAUCUGCUUCAAAAUGAAUCUAAUUUCAGAAUUGCAAUAAAGAGUACAGCACUUUGAACAAUAGUUUUCGAUUGGGGUGAUCACGGAGUAAAAAAUAACCUCCAUGCCGAAANNGGACNNUCUCCUGAGCUAAAAGCCACAACUUAAAGCACUAAAAAAUUGACGUAACUUGACCCAAUACUUUGAUCAACGAACCAAGUUACCCUAGGGAUAACAGCGCAAUCCACUUCAAGAGCUCCUAUCGACAAGUGGGUUUACGACCUCGAUGUUGGAUCAGGGUAUCCUAGUGGUGCAGCCGCUACUAAAGGUUCGUUUGUUCAACGAUUAAAACCCUACGUGAUCUGAGUUCAGACCGGAGUAAUCCAGGUCAGUUUCUAUCUAUAAAGGGCUUUUUCUAGUACGAAAGGACCGAAAAAGCAUGGCCAAUGACCAAUUAAGCCAUAUAAAUUACUUAUGACCUCAACUAAAUCAGAAAUAAACCUAACACUUAACUCAAAAAAAGAGUGGUUAACGUAGCAUAACCUGGCCUUGCAG